rnacentral:rRNA from 1 species
UGAACGCUAGCGACAGGCUAACACAUGCAAGUCGAGGGGUAACAGGGUAGCAAUACCGCUGACGACCGGCGCACGGGUGAGUAACGCGUAUGCAACCUGCCUAUAACUGGGGAAUAGCUCCCUGAAAGGGGAAUUAACACCGCAUAACACUAUUGAUUCGCAUGGAUUAGUAGUUAAAUGUAGCGAUACAGGUUAUAGAUGGGCAUGCGUGACAUUAGCCAGUUGGUGAGGUAACGGCUCACCAGGGCUACGAUGUCUAGGGGUUCUGAGAGGAAGGCCCCCCACACUGGUACUGAGACACGGACCAGACUCCUACGGGAGGCAGCAGCGAGGAAUAUUGGUCAAUGGGCGCAAGCCUGAACCAGCCAUGUCGCGUGCAGGAAGACUGCCCCUAUGGGUUGUAAACUGCUUUUAUAGUAGAAGAAACACAUCUACGCGUAGAUGUCUGCCAGUAUACUAUGAAUAAGCAUCGGCUAACUCCGUGCCAGCAGCUGC